rnacentral:rRNA from 1 species
CACGUAGGGUGCGAGCGUUGUCCGGAAUUAUUGGGCGUAAAGAGCUCGUAGGCGGUGUGUCGCGUCGGCCGUGAAAACCUGUAGCUUAACUGUGGGCUUGCGGUCGAUACGGGCAUCACUGGAGUUCGGCAGGGGAGACUGGAAUUCCUGGUGUAGCGGUGAAAUGCGCAGAUAUCAGGAGGAACACCGGUGGCGAAGGCGGGUCUCUGGGCCGAUACUGACGCUGAUGCGCGAAAGCCAGGGGAGCAAACGGG